AUUGAACGCCGGCGGAAUGCUUUACACAUGCAAGUCGAACGGCAGCACGGACUUCGGUCUGGUGGCGAGUGGCGAACGGGUGAGUAAUGUAUCGGAACGUGCCCAGUCGUGGGGGAUAACGUAGUGAAAAUUACGCUAAUACCGCAUACGAUCUAUGGAUGAAAGCGGGGGAUCGCAAGACCUCGCGCGAUUGAAGCGGCCGAUAUCAGAUUAGGUAGUUGGUGGGGUAAAGGCCCACCAAGCCAACGAUCUGUAGCUGGUCUGAGAGGACGACCAGCCACACUGGAACUGAGACACGGUCCAGACUCCUGCGGGAGGCAGCAGUGGGGAAUUUUGGACAAUGGGCGAAAGCCUGAUCCAGCCAUUCCGCGUGCAGGAUGAAGGCCCUCGGGUUGUAAACUGCUUUUGUACAGAACGAAAAGGUUUCUACUAAUACUAGGAGCUCAUGACGGUACUGUAAGAAUAAGCACCGGCUAACUACGUGCCAGCAGCCGCCGUAA
rnacentral:rRNA from 1 species